rnacentral:rRNA from 1 species
UUUGGUGCGGGUUUGCUCCACCCGAGAAAGUGCAGUGGGGGUGGUUGAUUAGCGGUGGGGAACGCGCCCUUCAAAUGGGGAUAUGCGGGUAAACUUGUGCUAAGGCCUUAUAACAUGUUAAACCGUGUGGUUUUGAUUUGAUGGGCGGUUUCCGGUGGUGUUGAUGGAUGGUCCGCCGGUGCAUUUUCUAGGGGGUGAGGUAACGGGGUGCCAAGGGCAGCGUGCGUAUUCGACCUGAGAGGGUGAUCGGCCACGUUGGGACUGAGACACGGCCCAAACUCCUACGGGAGGCAGCAGUAGGGAAUCUUCGGCAAUGGACGAAAGUCUGACCGAGCAACGCCGCGUGAGUGAAGAAGGUUUUCGGAUCGUAAAACUCUGUUGUUAGAGAAGAACAAGGAUGAGAGUAACUGUUCAUCCCUUGACGGUAUCUAACCAGAAAGCCACGGCUAACUACGUGCCAGCAGCCGCGGUAAUACGUAGGUGGCAAGCGUUGUCCGGAUUUAUUGGGCGUAAAGCGAGCGCAGGCGGUUUCUUAAGUCUGAUGUGAAAGCCCCCGGCUCAACCGGGGAGGGUCAUUGGAAACUGGGAGACUUGAGUGCAGAAGAGGAGAGUGGAAUUCCAUGUGUAGCGGUGAAAUGCGUAGAUAUAUGGAGGAACACCAGUGGCGAAGGCGGCUCUCUGGUCUGUAACUGACGCUGAGGCUCGAAAGCGUGGGGAGCAAACAGGAUUAGAUACCCUGGUAGUCCACGCCGUAAACGAU